rnacentral:rRNA from 1 species
AUGAGUGCAGACCUAAACAGAGACUACGAGAUUGGCGAGGAGAUCGGCCGCGGGCGGUUCGGCGUCGUCCACCGCUGCACCUCGCGCUCCACCGGCGAGGCCUUCGCCGUCAAGUCCGUGGACCGCUCCAACCUCGCCGACGACCUCGACCGGGAGCUGGCGGAGAUCGAGCCCAAGCUGGCCCAGCUCGCCGCCGCGGGGAACCCGGGCGUCGUACAGGUGCACGCCGUCUACGAGGACGACUCGUGGACCCACAUGGUCAUGGACCUCUGCUCCGGCCCGGACCUGCUCGACUGGGUCCGCCUCCGCCGCGGCGCGCCCGUCCCGGAGCCCGUCGCCGCGGACAUCGUCGCGCAGCUCGCACAGGCGCUCGCGCUCUGCCACCGUCGCGGGGUCGCCCACCGCGACGUCAAGCCUGACAACGUCGUCCUCGACGUCGAGGACGACGGUGAAAACAGCUCCCCCCGCGCGCGGCUCGCGGACUUCGGGUCGGCCGCGUGGAUCGGCGCCGACGGCGGCCGCGCCGAGGGCCUCGUGGGCACCCCCCACUACGUCGCGCCAGAGGUUGUUUCCGGCGGUGACUACGGCGAGAAGGCGGACGUGUGGAGCGCAGGUGUUGUCAUGUACGUGCUGCUCUCCGGCGGCGCGCUCCCCUUCGGUGGCGAGACGGCGAAGGACGUGCUCUCGGCCGUGAUGCGGGGCAGCGUCAGGUUCCCUCCGAGGCUGUUCUCCGGCGUGUCCCCGGCCGCCAAGGACCUCAUGAGGCGGAUGAUGUGCCGUGACGAGUGGAGACGCUUCUCCGCAGAGCAAGUCCUCCGCCACCCGUGGAUCGUGAGCGGCGGAGGAGCCCGGGCGAUGGAGCAGCCAACCUGA